GUUGGGAGACUUGAUCUCUUAGUGGCGCAGUUAACGCGAUAAGUAGACCGCCUGGGGAGUACGGCCGCAAGGUUAAAACUCAAAUGAAUUGACGGGGGCCCGCACAAGCGGUGGAGCAUGUGGUUUAAUUCGACGCAACGCGAAGAACCUUACCAGGUCUUGACAUCCUAGAAACUUAGCAGAGAUGCUUUGGUGCCUUCGGGAAUCUAGUGACAGGUGCUGCAUGGCUGUCGUCAGCUCGUGUCGUGAGAUGUUGGGUUAAGUCCCGUAACGAGCGCAACCCUUGUCCUUAGUUGCCAGCACGUAAUGGUGGGAACUCUAAGGAGACUGCCGGUGACAAACCGGAGGAAGGUGGGGACGACGUCAAGUCAUCAUGGCCCUUACGACCUGGGCUACACACGUGCUACAAUGGCCAGUACAGAGGGCUGCAAGCCCGCGAGGGGGAGCUAAUCUCACAAAGCUGGUCGUAGUCCGGAUCGCAGUCUGCAACUCGACUGCGUGAAGUUGGAAUCGCUAGUAAUCGUGAAUCAGAAUGUCACGGUGAAUACGUUCCCGGGCCUUGUACACACCGCCCGUCACACCAUGGGAGUAGGUUGCAAAAGAAGUAGCUAGGCUAACCUUCGGGAGGCCGGUUACCACUUUGUGAUUUAUGACUGGGGUG
rnacentral:rRNA from 1 species